GAAACUUGAUUCCUAACCAAUACAAAUAAAAAAGGAAUUAGAAGCCUACAAGAUCAAUGGCCAGUAUGAUAUCAUGUAUAUUCGUAGUCAUCACGCAAGCAUCUAUUACAGGAAGAUUAGGAAAUCAAAGAAGAGCUUUAUUUCCUGUACAUAUAUCAUGAACAUCUGCAUCCCUACAUGGGGCCUGUGAUGAGAACUGCGACUCAUCUCAGUGUUGCUACAGCAUAGUAGGGUAUAUGCAUGCUAUAGCCUUGACGAUCCAAGUACUUCCUCUUCUUACUCUCGGGGACGUCGGUCUUCUUGAGAUCGUCGAUGCACUUUGCGUCCGCGAGGCAUGCGAAAGACUUCGACUCGCCGGAGAAGUAUCUCGAUAAGCCUUUCCUCCUUGACAACAACAAGAAAAUGAUAUGUCAGAGACACUACGUAAGACCCAUAUGGAUGAAGCUGCAAGUAAAGAGUGGAACACUUUGGGGGUAGAUGCGUCUUCAAAGAACCCAUGUCGAAGGUAUGAUGAAGAACGUCCAAGUCUUGGGUGGCGGUGGUUGACAUGGAAACGAGAAGGGGGAUAGCUUCACUUCCUGAAUCUGUUGUCUGUUGUUGAUGCUAUCAUGUAGAUAUAUAGAUCGUAAGGUAGAUGAAGAGAGAGAGAGAGAGAGAG
rnacentral:lncRNA from 1 species